AAUCAACGCUGGCGGCGUGCCUCAGACAUGCAAGUCGAACGAUUAAAGCUCCCUUCGGGGAGUGCAUAAAGUGGCGCACGGGUGAGUAACACGUAAGUAAUCUACCCUCGGGUGGGGAAUAACGUCCGGAAACGGACGCUAAUACCGCAUAAUGCAGCGGCACCGCAAGGUGACAGUUGUUAAAGAUUUAUUGCCUGGGGAGGAGCUUGCGGCAGAUUAGCUUGUUGGUAAGGUAACGGCUUACCAAGGCUACGAUCUGUAUCCGGUCUAAGAGGACGGUCGGACACACUGACACUGAAUAACGGGUCAGACUCCUACGGGAGGCAGCAGUCGGGAAUUUUGGGCAAUGGGGGAACCCUCGACCCAGCAACGCCGCGUGAAGGAUGAAGUAUUUCGGUAUGUAAACUUCGAAAGAAUAGGAAGAAUUAAUGACGGUACUAUUUAUAAGGUCCGGCUAACUACGUGCCAGCAGCCGCUGUAAC
rnacentral:rRNA from 1 species